rnacentral:rRNA from 1 species
AACCAGCUCUUCAAGUGGUCGGGAUAAUUAUUGGGCUUAAAGUGUCCGUAGCCGGUUUAGUAAGUUCCUGGUAAAAUCGGGUAGCUUAACUAUCUAUAUGCUAGGAAUACUGCUAUACUAGAGGGCGGGAGAGGUCUGAGGUACUACAGGGGUAGGGGUGAAAUCUUAUAAUCCUUGUAGGACCACCAGUGGCGAAGGCGUCAGACUGGAACGCGCCUGACGGUGAGGGACGAAAGCCAGGGGGAGCGAACCGGAUUAGAUACCCGGGUAGUCCUGGCUGUAAACGAUGCAUACUAGGUGAUGGCACGGCCAUGAGCCGUGUCAGUGCCGUAGGGAAACCGUUAAGUGUGCCGCCUGGGAAGUACGGUCGCAAGGCUAAAACUUAAAGGAAUUGGCGGGGGAGCACCACAAGGGGUGAAGCCUGCGGUUC